UACGAAGGGGGCUAGCGUUGCUCGGAAUCACUGGGCGUAAAGCGCACGUAGGCGGCUUUUUAAGUCAGGGGUGAAAUCCUGGAGCUCAACUCCAGAACUGCCUUUGAUACUGAGAAGCUUGAGUCCGGGAGAGGUGAGUGGAACUGCGAGUGUAGAGGUGAAAUUCGUAGAUAUUCGCAAGAACACCCGUGGCGAAGGCGGUUCUCUGGGACGGUACUGACGCUGAGACGCGAAAGCGUGGGGAGCGAACAGG
rnacentral:rRNA from 1 species